rnacentral:rRNA from 1 species
UACGUAGGGGACAAGCGUUGUUCGGAAUUACUGGGCGUAAAGCGCGCGCAGGCGGCUAUCCAAGUCAGUGGUGAAAGCCCGGAGCUCAACUCCGGAACUGCCAUUGAAACUGUUUAGCUUGAGGACGAGAGAGGUGAGUGGAAUUCCCAGUGUAGAGGUGAAAUUCGUAGAUAUUGGGAAGAACACCGGUGGCGAAGGCGGCUCACUGGCUCGUAUCUGACGCUCAGGCGCGACAGCGUGGGGAUCAAACAGG